UUGGGAAUAUUGCACAAUGGGCGAAAGCCUGAUGCAGCGACACCGCGUGCAGGAAGAAGGCCUUCGGGUUGUAAACUGCUUUUAUUUGGGAAGAUUAUGACUGUACCAAAUGAAUAAGCACCGGCUAACUACGUGCCAGCAGCCGCGGUAAUACGUAGGGUGCAAGCGUUACUCGGAAUCACUGGGCGUAAAGAGCGCGUAGGUUUUUGUGCAAGUCUUCGGUCAAAGACUGGGGCUCAACUCCAGGAAGGUCGGGGAUACUGCAUAAAUAGAGGACUCAAGAGGUGGGCGGAAUUCCAGGUGUAGCGGUGAAAUGCGUAGAUAUCUGGAGGAACGCCGAUGGCGAAGGCAGCCCACUGGGGAGUUCCUGACACUGAGGCGCGAAAGCGUGGGGAGCGAACGGG
rnacentral:rRNA from 1 species